UACGGAGGGUGCAAGCGUUAUCCGGAUUCACUGGGUUUAAAGGGUGCGUAGGCGGGGUUUUAAGUCAGCGGUGAAAGCUCCGAGCUCAACUCGGAAAUUGCCGUUGAUACUAUUAAUCUUGAAUUUAGUUGAGGUGGGCGGAAUGUGUAGUGUAGCGGUGAAAUGCUUAGAUAUUACACAGAACACCUAUUGCGAAGGCAGCUCGCUAAACUAAUAUUGACGCUGAGGCACGAAAGCGUGGGGAUCAAACAGG
rnacentral:rRNA from 1 species